rnacentral:rRNA from 1 species
UACAGAGGUCUCAAGCGUUGUUCGGAUUCAUUGGGCGUAAAGGGUGCGUAGGUGGCGAGGUAAGUCGGGUGUGAAAUCCUGGGGCUCAACCCCAGAACUGCAUUCGAUACUGCUUUGCUCGAGUACUGGAGAGGAGAUUGGAAUUUAUGGUGUAGCAGGUGAAAUGCGUAGAUAUCAUAAGGAAGACCAGUGGCGAAAGGCGGAUCUCGUGGACAAGCUUACUGACACUGAGGCACGAAGGCCAGGGGAG